rnacentral:rRNA from 1 species
CCACGGUGGAGUAACACGUAUCCAACCUGCCGUCUACUCUUGGACAGCCUUCUGAAAGGAAGAUUAAUACAAGAUGGCAUCAUGAGUCCGCAUGUUCACAUGAUUAAAGGUAUUCCGGUAGACGAUGGGGAUGCGUUCCAUUAGAUAGUAGGCGGGGUAACGGCCCACCUAGUCUUCGAUGGAUAGGGGUUCUGAGAGGAAGGUCCCCCACAUUGGAACUGAGACACGGUCCAA